rfam:Fusobacterium mortiferum ATCC 9817 genomic scaffold supercont2.5, whole genome shotgun sequence.
GGACGAACCUCUGGAGAGACUCGUAGAGCACCGAAGGAGCAAACCCAAGUAAUUGGACUAAACUCUCAGGUAAAAGGACAGAGGAAUUAUG